CUGGUUGAUUCUGCCAGUAAUCAUAUGCUUGUCUCAAAGAUUAAGCCAUGCAUGUCUAAGUACAAACUCUAGCACAGUGAAACUGCGAAUGGCUCAUUAGAUCAGUUAUGGUUCCUUAGAUGAUACAAUCCUACUUGGAUAACUGUGGUAAUUCUAGAGCUAAUACAUGCACUAAAGCUCCGACCCUUUCUGAGGGGAAGAGCGCGUUUAUCAGUUCGAAGCCAGCCGAGCCGCAAGGCUCGUCUCUUUGGUGACUCUGGAUAACUCUAGCGGAUCGCACGGCCUCGAGCCGGCGACGCAUCUAUCAAGUGUCUGCCCUAUCAGACUGUCGAUGGUAAGUGCUAUGCUUACCAUGGUGAUAACGGGUAACGGGGAAUCAGGGUUCGAUUACGGAGAAGGAGCCUGAGAAACGGCUACCACAUCCAAGGAAGGCAGAAGGCGCGCAAAUUACCCAAUCUCGAUACGAGGAGGUAGUGACGAAAAAUAACAAUACGGGACUCUUUCGAGGCCCCGUAAUUGGAAUGAGUGUACUCUAAACGUGUGCACGAGGAUCUAUUGGAGGGCAAGUCUGGUGCCAGCAGCCGCGGUAAUUCCAGCUCCAAUAGCGUAUAUUAAAGCUGUUGUGGUUAAAAAGCUCGUAGUUGGAUCUKAGGGUCGUUCGCGUCGGUCCCUUGCUGAAAUGGCUCGGGUACUGCGCGGUGUCGUCCCCCUUGCCAGACCUCUCAAAAAGGUUGCUCUUGACUGAGUGGCCUGCUCGAGUGGCUGGAGAGUUUACUUUGAAAAAAUUAGAGUGUUCAAAGCAGGCACAGCCCGCCUGUAUAAUGGUGCAUGGAAUAAUGGAAUAGGACCCCGGAUCCUAUUUUGCUGGUUUUUGGAGCUCAGGGGUAAUGAUUAAGAGGAACAGGGCGGGGGCAUCCGUAUUACGGCGUUAGAGGUGAAAUUCUUGGAUCGUCGUAAGACGCCCUACAGCGAAAGCAUUUGCCAAGUAUGUUUUCAUUAAUCAAGAACGAAAGUCAGAGGUUCGAAGACGAUCAGAUACCGUCGUAGUUCUGACCGUAAACUAUGCCAACUGGCAGCCCGUCGGCGUUGCUCUAUUCGACUCGGCGGGAGGCCUACCCGAAAGGAAAGUCUACGGGUUCCAGGGGAAGUAUGGUUGCAAAGCUGAAACUUAAAGGAAUUGACGG
rnacentral:rRNA from 1 species